CAAGUACUCCCUCCGUCCCUAAAUUCUUGUCUUAAAUUUGUCUAAAUACGGAUGUAUCUAGUCACAUUUUAGUAUUAGAUACAUGUGUAUCUUGACAAAUCUAAGACAAGAAUUUUGGGACGCAGGGAGUAUGUA
rfam:Triticum aestivum genome assembly, contig: Triticum_aestivum_CS42_TGACv1_scaffold_320372_4BL